UAACGAUAUGUGUAGGUGUAACAGUCGAAGCAGUUAAUGUUCGUUUGUCCCUAAACUACAUUCAUUAUACUCUAUGUAUUUUUUUCUAACUGAGCUCAUAGAUCUUUGCCUUCCAAAAUGUCGAAGAGCGCAGGGAAUUUGAUAUAUUUCAGAAACUUAUACCACGGCUCGUCUGACCUGUGCGGGUCCAAAACUCAUGGAAGCACUCCACCCGGUUUUGUGUUUGCUUGGUAAACGACGUUCAUAGCUCAACGCUUAGGCAGUUCGUGGACCGCUUUGUCCGCUAGUCUGUAUGGUAUCGGCGAUAAAACGACUUUAUGGGGAAGGUUUGCAUAGACUCACACCGGGCUUUCGUGAAAACUAUUAAGCUGCCAUUAGUAUUCUUCGAGUACUUCAAUGCAGUCCCUGCCGACAAACCUUACUGGAGAGGCUGGACCUGGUGCUAGGAUUGAAAAACAAAAACUAACCAACAAACAAGAAAAUGUGCGAAAGUAGUACAAAGGAAAGUCAUAAGAAUCCACAGGUCUGCACACAUCUGCUAAAUAAACAGUGAAGUGCGACUGAGGGUAGCAACAGAUCGACCCUCCACAGCAAUGGUGAUAACCCGUCUUGUGAUACUAUCUCACUAUCCAACAUUAAAACUGUGUUUCUGGGCGGACAGAAACCGUUAAAGCCAGUUGUUAAAUUUUUGGUCGUGAUUGUCUUGCCUGCGACAGACUGCCGCCAUCUAUAUGAGACGAACUCAGGAACUCAUGAAGUGGAAACCAGAUAGUGUCGUGUUUGGUUGGGUCCCUGCACUAACAGCUCAGCAUUAUGUCUAUAUGAGUAUAUGGGGACCAACCAUGCCACCAGUUACAUGGAGUAGCAUGAACAGAGCCUGUGAAGACUGACCACCGCGUGCCAGUGCGAGAAAUAUAACGCGCUGACACGAUUAAGCGACGAGUCUAACAAUCUCACGAACGGGUGUCAUUCCGGGUACCAACGUACAGGUCCGUAGUCUCUACAACACAGCUAUUUCCGCUGGCAUCGAUUAACCACUAUUAUCGCCUAAACGCCUUUGUGUGCCUUCUUUAUCAAUGUCAGCAUCACGAAGCUUCUGCCACCUGAGCGCGGUCUGGUCAGCACCUGGCUGUGUCCUUGCCAGUAUCGGCGGUUGCAUUAGGCGGUGAUUUGCUGCUGGUCUGAUGGUUUACUGGUCUGCUGGCAAGCGCGUACUCCCCACCAUGGUGCGGCGAACGGACACCCAGGAACCUUCUAGUGGUUCCCAGAAGGACAAACGGGCGGUUGGCAGGAAAGCAGGGACUGACAAAAGCCAGGCACCACAGCUGUGUGGCUGGGCCUCGACACCUGCUCUGGCUUACGAUGAUGAUAACGAUAUCAUCAGCUGGAUGAGAAGAGCGAAAAAUGGCGACAACAGACAGGAUAACAGAAACGGAUCGCUCUGCGAGGAGCAGUUCCGUCACGUGUUCGACCUCUGCACAGCCAUCGAGGACAAGCAAUGUUCGAGCUUCAAAUCCUGAACUGCGACCGGCAUCCGCGGAACUGCCAUAACGGGCCGCAGGCUACCAGCGUUGCCACGGCAACAACCUCCGCGAUGUCAACAGUCGAUGGGACCUCACAGUCUCCUGAACUAGACAAGGACGAAAACUGCCAAAGUGACGACAAAAGAGCAUCGGUUGUAAGGGGAGGUAAUGGUAGUGCGGCAAGCAUGCGGGAGGAGGGGACGCUGUCUAGGGAGGUCCCUGAGUCUUCACGUGUUCAGGGGAAGAACAACGCCAUUAAAGAUGGACAUCCCUGCAACGACAGCAAUGAUGAUGGUGCGAAAGUCAAAGGUCUUGGUGCAAAAUGCAAGGCCGACGCGGCGUUUCUGGACGACGCACGUGUUCCAUCUUCGAAAGGUGACUGGAGACGGGAGGAAACAAGAGGGAAGAGCGAGCUCUCAGAAGAACGACUGUGAACUUGAGGAAAACCAGGGUCAGCACGAGUCAGUGACGCGAUUACGGUAUUCUUGCGCCGAGGAGUCGACAUUUAGUGAACAAAGUACAUACAAACGUGGCAGCGGCUAUAACAAUGGUGACAUGGACCAUCAGACAGCCGACUAUGGUCUGAGUCGUACCUCUGCGUCCGUCUAUCCUGCUAGUCGUCACCACCAGGCCGUCGGUAUCGCGAGGCAGAAACUUCAGCAGCAGCAAGUUGUGGGGACGCGACCUGGAGCUUGGAGCCGCGCGUCAUGGUGUUACGCAAGAUUAUGAUCCAGGACUCCCCACCGGACGUGCACUCCCGGGAUCCAGAGCAACCCAGUCUCCAUCCCAGAGUACCUAGAGUCGUUCCCUUGAGAAACACGACCCGCAAAGUCGAGGUCAUGUGAAAGCUGAAACUGCUGCGGGUCAUCACUCGGCUGACUCACUAUCCAGACAACUCGGCGACGGCCUGACAUCAGAGGGCGCAGACGAUGCUGCCGUGACCUCACCAACCGGCAGGACAUCUGCUGCAUCCUAUCCCCUCCCGUCAUGCAUCCGCAGCGCCAACGAGAAUGAGCGUUCGCAGAUACUUGACCUUUAUUGCGAUGGUAUAUCAAGGAUAGGCUAUUGUUACCAUAACGCGCUACACCAGAUGACCUCCCUACCCAUGACCGACCUCCUUCCUGCAGUGGAACGGAAAAUAUCGCACUCGUUCCACUCAACGUGAAGUCACCAUAGACAACAAUAACAUCUUUCACCUACAAAAUGACCGCUGGCACCAGCACCGGCAGCAGCAGCAACAACAAGAGUGGCGUCAACAGGAAUCUCGCACGACUGUUGAUGAAGGUAGUCAAGGGUACGAAAGAGAGUCGACUCGGUGAGAGGUCACCACAGAUCUUUAGCAUUUGACGAGAGUCGAACUGGCGCCGGCAGUGAAACCCGCACUUUUAAUACCGAAACAAUUCCAAAUUUUCCUAGUUUUCGGCCUCACUAUAGUAUUUCGCCUCUGCAGCGUGCAAGAGAAAUAGCCUUCCGUCGGUUACACGGACACUUGACACAACAGCCGGAUGGUUCUGAGACCGUGACAGUCCCAUCACCUCGAUAUGCACCACGAGCUGACCAGAAAUACAUCCCUUCGCGAACUAGGUCUGCUUGCAGAUUACUUGGUCAAGUCCUUUCGAGGCGAGAUCCAGCACACUACUACAAUUAGUCCCCAAUGAAUAGUACUACAUACGGGUCUUCAGAAGUGUCGCCAUUUUGACGAAGAAACUAAGACGUCCACGAAGAAACGAACCAAAGGCAGAUGUCGACAGGAGUAAGCGGGAGAUGGACACAUCACUUAACUACGAAAUGAAGGAGACCCACAAGCAGAUGUCUGGGACACUGAAAAACAAUUAUCAUGAUCGCGAGUGUAAUGGGAGAGGAAUACACUUAAUUUAUAUUCAGCACGGUGGCUAUAUUACAUACGUUCAUGAGUAAGUGAGCACCGCGAGUGGAGGAGAAAGAAGAGUGAGUGUGGAAAAUAAAGCAUUCACGCCUUUCACAAG